rnacentral:rRNA from 1 species
GAUGAACGCUGGCGGCGUGCCUAAUACAUGCAAGUCGAGCGAACAGACGAGGAGCUUGCUCCUCUGACGUUAGCGGCGGACGGGUGAGUAACACGUGGAUAACCUACCUAUAAGACUGGGAUAACUUCGGGAAACCGGAGCUAAUACCGGAUAAUAUAUUGAACCGCAUGGUUCAAUAGUGAAAGACGGUUUUGCUGUCACUUAUAGAUGGAUCCGCGCCGCAUUAGCUAGUUGGUAAGGUAACGGCUUACGAAGGCAACGAUGCGUAGCCGACCUGAGAGGGUGAUCGGCCACCCUGGAACUGAGACACGGUCCAGACUCCUACGGGAGGCAGCAGUAGGGAAUCUUCCGCAAUAGUCGAAAGCCUUACGGAGCAACGCCGCGUGAGUGAUGAAGGUCUUCGGAUCGUAAAACUCUGUUAUUAGGGAAGAACAAAUGUGUAAGUAACUAUGCACGUAUUGACGGUACCUAAUCAGAAAGCCACGGCUAACUACGUG